UACAGAGGUCCCAAGCGUUGUUCGGAUUCACUGGGCGUAAAGAGCGCGCAGGCGGUCGUUCAAGUCGAGUGUGAAAGCCCCCGGCUCAACUGGGGAGGGUCAUUCGAUACUGAUCGACUCGAAGGCAGGAGAGGGUAGUGGAAUUCCCGGUGUAGUGGUGAAAUGCGUAGAUAUCGGGAGGAACACCAGUGGCGAAGGCGACUACCUGGCCUGUUCUUGACGCUGAGGCGCGAAAGCUAGGGGAGCAAACGGG
rnacentral:rRNA from 1 species